GAUACCGCCCAAGAGUUCAUAUCGACGGCGGUGUUUGGCACCUCGAUGUCGGCUCAUCACAUCCUGGGGCUGAAGUCGGUCCCAAGGGUAUGGCUGUUCGCCAUUUAAAGUGGUACGCGAGCUGGGUUUAGAACGUCGUGAGACAGUUCGGUCCCUAUCUGCCGUGGGCGUUGGAAGAUUGAAGGGGGCUGCUCCUAGUACGAGAGGACCGGAGUGGACGAACCUCUGGUGUUCGGGUUGUGUCGCCAGACGCAUUGCCCGGUAGCUAAGUUCGGAAUCGAUAACCGCUGAAAGCAUCUAAGCGGGAAGCGAGCCCUGAGAUGAGUCUUCCCUGAUACUUUAAGUAUCCUAAAGGGUUGUUCGAGACUAGAACGUUGAUAGGCAGGGUGUGUAAGCGCUGUGAGGCGUUGAGCUAACCUGUACUAAUUGCCCGUGAGGCUUAACCAUACAACACCCAAAGGGUUUUG
rnacentral:rRNA from 1 species